CCUACGGGUGGCUGCAGUGGGGAAUAUUGGACAAUGGGGGGAACCCUGAUCCAGCCAUGCCGCGUGUGUGAAGAAGGCCCUCGGGUUGUAAAGCACUUUCAGUGAGGAAGAACGCCUGGUGGUUAAUACCCAUCAGGAAAGACAUCACUCACAGAAGAAGCACCGGCUAACUCCGUGCCAGCAGCCGCGGUAAUACGGAGGGUGCGAGCGUUAAUCGGAAUUACUGGGCGUAAAGCGCGCGUAGGUGGCUUGAUAAGCCGGUUGUGAAAGCCCCGGGCUCAACCUGGGAACGGCAUCCGGAACUGUCAAGCUAGAGUGCAGGAGAGGAAGGUAGAAUUCCCGGUGUAGCGGUGAAAUGCGUAGAGAUCGGGAGGAAUACCAGUGGCGAAAGCGGCCUUCUGGACUGACACUGACACUGAGGUGCGAAAGCGUGGGUAGCAAACAGGAUUAGAUACCCUUGUAGUC
rnacentral:rRNA from 1 species